rnacentral:rRNA from 1 species
UACAGGGGGUGCAAACGUUGCUCGGAAUCAUUGGGCGUAAAGCGCACGUAGGCGGUUCGUUAUGUCGGAUGUGAAAGCCCUUGGCUUAACCGAGGAAGUGCAUCCGAAACUGGCGAGCUAGAGUACUAAAGAGGAUCGCGGAAUUCCCGGUGUAGAGGUGAAAUUCGUAGAUAUCGAGAGGAACACCGGUGGCGAAGGCGGCCAACUGGACGAGUACUGACGCUGAGACACGAAAGCGUGGGGAGCAAACAGG